rnacentral:rRNA from 1 species
UACAGAGGGGGCAAGCGUUGUUCGGAAUUACUGGGCGUAAAGGGCGCGUAGGCGGCCUUCUAAGUCGAACGUGAAAUCCCCGGGCUCAACCCGGGAACUGCGUCCGAUACUGGAAGGCUUGAAUCCGGGAGAGGGAUGCGGAAUUCCAGGUGUAGCGGUGAAAUGCGUAGAUAUCUGGAGGAACACCAGAGGCGAAGGCGGGUUACUGGGCUGAUACUGACGCUGAAUCACGAAAGCUAGGGGAGCAAACGGG